GAUACGGCGUGAACGGCCGGCCUCAAAUUGGCCUCUCGAGCCAAAGAUCCCGGGUUCAAAUCCCGGCCGGGGCA
rnacentral:tRNA from 1 species